UACGUAGGUGGCAAGCGUUGUCCGGAUUUACUGGGCGUAAAGAGCGCGCAGGCGGUCGUUCAAGUCGCGUGUGAAAGCCCCCGGCUCAACUGGGGAGGGUCACGCGAUACUGAUCGACUCGAAGGCAGGAGAGGGUAGUGGAAUUCCCGGUGUAGUGGUGAAAUGCGUAGAUAUCGGGAGGAACACCAGUGGCGAAGGCGACUACCUGGCCUGUUUCUGACGCUGAGGCGCGAAAGCUAGGGAGCAACGGG
rnacentral:rRNA from 1 species